GAUGAACGCUGGCGGCGUGCCUAACACAUGCAAGUCGAGCGAGAAGUCAUGGAUGGAAUCUUCGGAGGAAAGAAGUGAUAGAAAGCGGCGGACGGGUGAGUAACGCGUAGGUAACCUGCCCCAUACAGAGGGAUAGCCACUGGAAACGGUGAUUAAUACCUCAUGACACUUUCUCUUCGCAUGGAGGGAAGGUCAAAGAUUUAUCGGUAUGGGAUGGACCUGCGUCUGAUUAGCUAGUUGGUGGGGUAACGGCCUACCAAGGCGACGAUCAGUAGCCGGACUGAGAGGUUGAACGGCCACAUUGGGACUGAGAUACGGCCCAG
rnacentral:rRNA from 1 species